CUCACCCAAUUUUCUCACCAGCUCUCCGCUCCCUCUUAUCUCUCUCCCUGAAAUUCAAAAGCCAUAUAUUUUGAGGGUUCCGUAGAGCUUUCAUGUUUGAAUUUGGGGAUGAGCUAACACUGGAGAGCGACUACAAAAUUCCAUGGCUGAUAUGGAUUCAGAUAUUAGUUCUCUUUCUUCUCAUCUUUCUUCUCUAUUUUGUCAGUAUUUCCCCCUUGGAUCUACAAGAAACUUCAAUCUCUACAACCUCUCCUCAGCUCAACACUACUAUCUCCACGGUUUUUACCCUAAACCGCUCGCAGAUAGAGGAAAACCAAAUGAUGAAAGGUGAGGUGGCAACCGGCACAAGUAGUAGAGUAGAAGAGAUUGUAGAAAGUGAACCGAGGCUUCCAUUCCACCCGUGUUAUUAUGUAAGGCUUGCUAAGUCGGCAUUCCUUAAGUGUCUAGGUCUCGACUUUUCAUCAGAUAAUUCUGAACAAAGAAAACAAUCUUAAAUACAUUUCUUCUCUAUGUAUUUGGGGUCUCUAGUAAAGAGCAAAGUAAUGAAACAAAGGGAAGAAUCAAUUCCAUAUUGUUAAGUAGAUGUCUACUCUAAUUUAA